AUUCGAACAAUUCUCAAUCGUUGUUUGGUUCAAAUAUAAUCGACAGAUCAAGUGAAGUGUUAUUAAAUUUAAAAAACGAAAUUAAAUAUAAAAAGAAAUAGAGGGAAAAAAAAAUUUAUAAUAGUGAAUAGUGCUGAAUAAGAUUCGAUGAAAGAAAACGUUACUGAUCAAUUGCGUAAUCCGCUUAAAGUUAGUCGUUGAAACGUUGAAAAAUAGAACUGUUUCGAUCAGUGCAGUACGUUUGGGAUGGUGGAAAAAGCUGCUAAAGUAAUGAAACUGGAAACUCCAAAUAUUUUUAGCUAGAAGGCUAUUGGUGAUUCAAAAUAUAAUAUGUGUGUUUACGAUGAUUCCAAAUGGUGAAAAGUGAGAAAAUUUUCGAUAAAGCAAAUAGUGCAAAAUAAAAAAAGUGAUCAAGGAAUGUGUAACAAUGGAAGAAAAGAUCAAAAAAAUCAAAGUGAUAGUGACAAACAUCGGUGAUCAACCGUGUAAUCCAUUUAACCGUGGAAAUUAGUCAUUGUAGAGAGGAAAAAUGGAACUGUUUCGAUUAUUCGUUAUUUCCUCUCAAUUGAAUAUUGAGAACAAUUGAUUGAUAAUCAGAAGUGGAAAAUUAGAAAAUUAGUUGAAACUCAUUCACUGAUGCUUUUUGUUUCUUCGCCUAUUUCCAUGCAAAAUAUUUUGCAACAACCAACAAUAUAUUUGAAACCAUGGACACAUAACACCCUAUCCAUAGUACCUCGAAAGAAGAAGGAUUAACCUGAACACACUGAAUCAAAUCAAAUGAAAUCGCUCGUAAAGCAGUAAAAUAAUAACUAUCAAACACAAUUGUAUCAAUCGACUCGAUUGAUAAUAAUUAACAACAAUUAACGACACCGACACAAGACAAGUCACUGAACAACCAUUAUGUAACUCACGAUACGAGACGUAUAAAAAAAAGAGGGAAAAACACUUUUAAUUCGAAAAAAAAAACACGAUCGAUUUACCGGAUCUUUAAGGUUAACUGCGGUGGAAGGAAACCGGUCGCGGACCGGCUGCUAUUUCCUCACGCACGUGUUACUCGACCCCACGAAAGUCACUAGGCGGCCAGUAGCGACCCCCGCCAGUCGUGGAGGAGACGGUAUUCAUGAUAUGCUUGUUGGAUGCUGCGCAGUCUCUGCACUUGUAUCACGGAACGGACUUUCUGUGAUAAAGCUUGACAAUACUUUUCUGGCAUGGCGAGACGAUUAUGCGAAAUGUAAUUUGAUAGUAAGGAGAUUGGAAGAUGGAAGAUGAUGCGAGAAGGAUAUAAGUUUGGCUUUAGGAAGUUUUAAGUUUUGGCUUUUGAAAUCUAAAUGAAAAUGAUGAGAAUAAUCCAUUGAAUGAUAUUGAUAAAUAGAUUGGUUUUUGAU